AACGAACGCUGGCGGCAUGCCUAACACAUGCAAGUCGAACGAAGGCUUCGGCCUUAGUGGCGCACGGGUGCGUAACGCGUGGGAAUCUGCCCCUCGGUUCGGAAUAACAGUUAGAAAUGACUGCUAAUACCGGAUGAUGACUCCGGUCCAAAGAUUUAUCGCCGAGGGAUGAGCCUGCGUAAGAUUAGGUAGUUGGUGGGGUAAAGGCCUACCAAGCCGACGAUCUUUAGCUGGUCUGAGAGGAUGAUCAGCCACACUGGGACUGAGACACGGCACAGACUCCUACGGGAGGCAGCAGUGGGGAAUAUUGGACAAUGGGCGAAAGCCUGAUCCAGCAAUGCCGCGGGAGUGAUGAAGGCCUUAGGGUUGUAAAGCUCUUUUACCAGGGAUGAUAAUGACAGUACCUGGAGAAUAAGCUCCGGCUAACUCCGUGCCAGCCGCCGCCGUAA
rnacentral:rRNA from 1 species